UACGGAGGAUGCGAGCGUUAUCCGGAUUUAUUGGGUUUAAAGGGUGCGUAGGCGGAAUAUCAAGUCAGCGGUAAAAAUUCGGGGCUCAACCCCGUCGUGCCGUUGAAACUGAUGUUCUUGAGUGGGCGAGAAGUAUGCGGAAUGCGUGGUGUAGCGGUGGAAUGCGCAGAUAUCGGGAAGAACACCGGUGGCGAAGGCGGCCUUCUGGGCCAUCACUGACGCUGAGGCGCGAAAGCUAGGGGAGCAAACAGG
rnacentral:rRNA from 1 species